AGCAGCCGCGGUAAUUCCAGCUCCAAUAGCGUAUAUUAAAGUUGUUGCAGUUAAAAAGCUCGUAGUUGAAUUUCGGGGUUAGUAGGUUGGUCAUGCCUCUGGUAUGUAUUGGUCUCACUGAUUCCUCCUUCCUGAUGAGCCGUAAUGCCAUUAAUUUGGUGUUGCGGGGAAUUUGGACUGUUACUUUGAAAAAUUGAGUGUUCAAAGCAAGCUAACGCUUGAAUACAUUAGCAUGGAAUAAUGAAAUAGGACGUUCGAUCCUAUUUUGUUGGUUUCUAGGAUUGACGUAAUGAUUAAUAGGGAUAGUUGGGGCAUUAGUAUUCAAUUGUCAGAGGUGAAAUUCUUGGAUUUAUUGAAGACUAACUACUGCGAAAGCAUUUGCCAAGGAUGUUUUCAUUAAUCAAG
rnacentral:rRNA from 1 species